GCCAAAACCCUAAUGACCAAAAAUCAUCAAAUUGAAAAGGAGAUCAAGGGCAAAUCGAAUGCAUGGGUUUAGAUACUCUUUAAUCUAAGUGUAUUGAUCAUAAGGUUGAUCGGGUCACGGAGAAUCAUCAAGGAAUGGAGAUCGAGGACCGAGUCACUCAUGUCAACAUGAGCACAAAUAAGGAAGUGCCACGGGUAGAAGGUAAACACGGAAGCUAAGUGCAAAUUCGGACGCGCGAGUCAUGUCAACAUGAGCACAAAU
rnacentral:lncRNA from 1 species